AGGACUUUAAGUUAAAUAAACUAUUUGCCUUCAAAGCAAAAAAUACUCUUAGUUAAGUCUUA
rnacentral:tRNA from 1 species